rnacentral:misc_RNA from 1 species
AAGUCGUAACAAGGUAACCGUAGGUGAACCUGCGGUUGGAUCAUUAACAAAAAGAUAGGGGUCAGACCUUAAAACGUCUGGCCUUUAUAAACACCUGUGCACUUGUAAUGUUUGAGGUGAGGUAAAAUUGGGGACUCGGCUAGAGUCUUUGGGGGUAUUAAAGGUUAAUUAGUCUGACUAAUGCGUUUAUACCUCACCUUGCCUCAACAUAACAUACAACAUGUAUAUCUUGAGCUAGUUUUUUAUUAUAUUAAUAUCUAACAACUUUUGACAACGGAUCUCUAGGCUCUC